AAAUUGAAGAGUUUGAUCAUGGCUCAGAUUGAACGCUGGCGGCAGGCCUAACACAUGCAAGUCGAACGGUAACAGGAAGCAGCUUGCUGCUUUGCUGACGAGUGGCGGACGGGUGAGUAAUGUCUGGGAAACUGCCUGAUGGAGGGGGAUAACUACUGGAAACGGUGGCUAAUACCGCAUAACGUCGCAAGACCAAAGAGGGGGACCUUCGGGCCUCUUGCCAUCAGAUGUGCCCAGAUGGGAUUAGCUUGUUGGUGAGGUAACGGCUCACCAAGGCGACGAUCCCUAGCUGGUCUGAGAGGAUGACCAGCCACACUGGAACUGAGACACGGUCCAGACUCCUACGGGAGGCAGCAGUGGGGAAUAUUGCACAAUGGGCGCAAGCCUGAUGCAGCCAUGCCGCGUGUAUGAAGAAGGCCUUCGGGUUGUAAAGUACUUUCAGCGGGGAGGAAGGUGUUGUGGUUAAUAACCGCAGCAAUUGACGUUACCCGCAGAAGAAGCACCGGCUAACUCCGUGCCAGCAGCCGCGGUAAUACGGAGGGUGCAAGCGUUAAUCGGAAUUACUGGGCGUAAAGCGCACGCAGGCGGUCUGUCAAGUCGGAUGUGAAAUCCCCGGGCUCAACCUGGGAACUGCAUUCGAAACUGGCAGGCUUGAGUCUUGUAGAGGGGGGUAGAAUUCCAGGUGUAGCGGUGAAAUGCGUAGAGAUCUGGAGGAAUACCGGUGGCGAAGGCGGCCCCCUGGACAAAGACUGACGCUCAGGUGCGAAAGCGUGGGGAGCAAACAGGAUUAGAUACCCUGGUAGUCCACGCCGUAAACGAUGUCUACUUGGAGGUUGUGCCCUUGAGGCGUGGCUUCCGGAGCUAACGCGUUAAGUAGACCGCCUGGGGAGUACGGCCGCAAGGUUAAAACUCAAAUGAAUUGACGGGGGCCCGCACAAGCGGUGGAGCAUGUGGUUUAAUUCGAUGCAACGCGAAGAACCUUACCUGGUCUUGACAUCCACAGAACUUUCCAGAGAUGGAUUGGUGCCUUCGGGAACUGUGAGACAGGUGCUGCAUGGCUGUCGUCAGCUCGUGUUGUGAAAUGUUGGGUUAAGUCCCGCAACGAGCGCAACCCUUAUCCUUUGUUGCCAGCGGUCCGGCCGGGAACUCAAAGGAGACUGCCAGUGAUAAACUGGAGGAAGGUGGUGGAGUCUGCAACUCGACUCCAUGAAGUCGGAAUCGCUAGUAAUCGUGGAUCAGAAUGCCACGGUGAAUACGUUCCCGGGCCUUGUACACACCGCCCGUCACACCAUGGGAGUGGGUUGCAAAAGAAGUAGGUAGCUUAACCUUCGGGGGGGCGCUUACCACUUUGUGAUUCAUGACUGGGGUGAAGUCGUAACAAGGUAACCGUAGGGGAACCUGCGGUUGGAUCACCUCCUUACCUUAAAGAAGC
rnacentral:rRNA from 1 species